rnacentral:rRNA from 1 species
UACGUAGGGUGCAAGCGUUGUCCGGAAUUAUUGGGCGUAAAGAGCUCGUAGGCGGUCUGUCGCGUCGAAUGUGAAAACUCGGGGCUCAACUCCGAGCUUGCAUUCGAUACGGGCAGGCUAGAGUUCGGUAGGGGAGACUGGAAUUCCUGGUGUAGCGGUGAAAUGCGCAGAUAUCAGGAGGAACACCGGUGGCGAAGGCGGGUCUCUGGGCCGAUACUGACGCUGAGGAGCGAAAGCGUGGGGAGCGAACAGG